GAUCCUGGCUUAGGAUGAACGCUGGCGGCGUGCUUAACACAUGCAAGUCGAACGGAGUAUUCCUCCCUGGAACCGAUGUAGCUUGCUACGGAAGUCCUUUGGAAUACUUAGUGGCGGACGGGUGAGUAACGCGUGAGUAACCUGCCCUUCAGUGGGGAAUAACAUCGAGAAAUCGGUGCUAAUACCGCAUAACGUCAGAGGACCGCAUGAUCUUCUGACCAAAGGAUUUAUUCGCUGAAGGAUGGACUCGCGUCCGAUUAGCUAGUUGGUGAGGUAACGACCCACCAAGGCGACGAUCGGUAGCCGAACUGAGAGGUUGAUCGGCCACAUUGGGACUGAGACACGGCCCAGACUCCUACGGGAGGCAGCAGUGGGGAAUAUUGGGCAAUGGGCGAAAGCCUGAACCCCCAGCAACGCCGCGUGAAGGAUGAAGGUCUUCGGAUUGUAAACUUCUUUGAUCAGGGACGAAAUUUUGACGGUACCUGAAGAACAAGUCACGGCUAACUACGUGCCAGCCGCUGC
rnacentral:rRNA from 1 species